GCGGAGGGAUCAUUACCGAGUUUACAACUCCCAAACCCCAAUGUGAACGUUACCAAACUGUUGCCUCGGCGGGAUUUCUGCCCCGGGCGCGUCGCAGCCCCGGACCAAGGCGCCCGCCGGAGGACCAAUUUACAAACUCUUUUGUAUAUCCCAUCGCGGAUUCUUUACAUUCUGAGCUUUCUCGGCGCUCCUAGCGAGCGUUUCGAAAAUGAAUCAAAACUUUCAACAACGGAUCUCUUGGUUCUGGCAUCGAUGAAGAACGCAGCGAAAUGCGAUAAGUAAUGUGAAUUGCAGAAUUCAGUGAAUCAUCGAAUCUUUGAACGCACAUUGCGCCCGCCAGUAUUCUGGCGGGCAUGCCUGUCCGAGCGUCAUUUCAACCCUCGAACCCCUCCGGGGGGUCGGCGUUGGGGAUCGGCACUUACCUGCCGGCCCCGAAAUACAGUGGCGGUCUCGCCGCAGCCUCUCCUGCGCAGUAGUUUGCACACUCGCACCGGGAGCGCGGCGCGUCCACGGCCGUAAAACAACCCAAACUUCUGAAAUGUUGACCUCGGAUCAGGUAGGAAUACCCGCUGAACUUAAGCAUA
rnacentral:rRNA from 1 species